rnacentral:rRNA from 1 species
CCUUCGGGAGGCAGCAGUGGGGAAUAUUGGGCAAUGGGCGCAAGCCUGACCCAGCAACGCCGCGUGAAGGAAGAAGGCUUUCGGGUUGUAAACUUCUUUUGUCAGGGAAGAGUAGAAGACGGUACCUGACGAAUAAGCCACGGCUAACUACGUGCCAGCAGCCGCGGUAAUACGUAGGUGGCAAGCGUUGUCCGGAUUUACUGGGUGUAAAGGGCGUGUAGCCGGGUUGACAAGUCAGAUGUGAAAGCCUGCGGCUUAACCGCAGAACUGCAUUUGAAACUGUUGAUCUUGAGUACUGGAGAGGCAGACGGAAUUCCUAGUGCAGCGGUGAAAUGCGGAGAUAUUAGGAGGAACACCAGUGGCGAAGGCGGUCUGCUGGACAGCAACUGACGGUGAGGCGCGAAAGCGUGGGGAGCAAACAGGAUUAGAUACCCCGGUAGUC